rnacentral:rRNA from 2 species
UACACAUGCAAGUCGAACGAUGAUGCCCAGCUUGCUGGGCGGAUUAGUGGCGAACGGGUGAGUAAUACGUGAGUAACCUGCCCUUGACUCUGGGAUAAGCCUGGGAAACUGGGUCUAAUACUGGAUACUACCUCUUACCGCAUGGUGGGUGGUGGAAAGGGUUUUACUGGUUUUGGAUGGGCUCACGGCCUAUCAGCUUGUUGGUGGGGUAAUGGCUCACCAAGGCGACGACGGGUAGCCGGCCUGAGAGGGUGACCGGCCACACUGGGACUGAGACACGGCCCAGACUCCUACGGGAGGCAGCAGUGGGGAAUAUUGCACAAUGGGCGGAAGCCUGAUGCAGCGACGCCGCGUGAGGGAUGACGGCCUUCGGGUUGUAAACCUCUUUCAGUAGGGAAGAAGCGAGAGUGACGGUACCUGCAGAAGAAGCGCCGGCUAACUACGUGCCAGCAGCCGCGGUAAUACGUAGGGCGCAAGCGUUGUCCGGAAUUAUUGGGCGUAAAGAGCUCGUAGGCGGUUUGUCGCGUCUGCUGUGAAAGCCCGGGGCUCAACCCCGGGUCUGCAGUGGGUACGGGCAGACUAGAGUGCAGUAGGGGAGACUGGAAUUCCUGGUGUAGCGGUGAAAUGCGCAGAUAUCAGGAGGAACACCGAUGGCGAAGGCAGGUCUCUGGGCUGUUACUGACGCUGAGGAGCGAAAGCAUGGGGAGCGAACAGGAUUAGAUACCCUGGUAGUCCAUGCCGUAAACGUUGGGCACUAGGUGUGGGGGACAUUCCACGUUUUCCGCGCCGUAGCU